rnacentral:tRNA from 1 species
GACCGCGUAGCUCAGCUGGCAGAGCAUUGGGCUAGUAUUCCAAAGGUCGUAGGUUCAAUUCCCAUCGUGGCCA